UCUUUUCCUUUUUUGCCCGCCGCCGCGGUAAUACGUAGGUGGCGAGCGUUGUCCGGAAUUAUUGGGCGUAAAGAGCCUGUAGGCGGCUUAAUAAGUCGAGCGUGAAAAUGCGGGGCUCAACCCCGUAUGGCGCUGGAAACUGUUAGGCUUGAGUGCAGGAGAGGAAAGGGGAAUUCCCAGUGUAGCGGUGAAAUGCGUAGAUAUUGGGAGGAACACCAGUGGCGAAGGCGCCUUUCUGGACUGUGUCUGACGCUGAGAUGCGAAAGCCAGGGUAGCGAACGGG
rnacentral:rRNA from 1 species